CAGGAGGCUGAGGCAGGAGUAUCGCUUGAACUCGGGAAGUGCAGGUUGCGGUAAACUGAGAUCUCACCAUUGCACUCCAGCCUGGGCAACAAAAGCGAAACUCCGUCUCAAAAAAAAAAAAAAAAAAAAAAACAAACAAACAAACAAACAAAAAAAAAAAUCAGAUAUCCCCAGAAAGGAAGUUGUUAUGGGCACCAAAUGGUUGUCAUAAAAUUCACGUUUUGUUGUCCCCCUUCCCAUAGCUGGUGGCCUUCAAAAGAGUAUUUUAUUGUCUCUCUCCAAUAAUGUGGGGGCCAUUUGUAGGAAUCACACACACAGGCAGCUGGGAUUUUGUGAAGCUGAGCACGUCAGAUUUUAACAUUGGUAGUCUUCAGACACGUUUUCCCAAAAGCGGCACCACCUUCUCAGGCAAGGUCUGGCCCAGCCCACCCAGCUAACCCUCCUGCCCAGCUUGUCCCUGGAGGGGCAGUGUCAGGGCACGGCCAGCAGGGGGCGGCGCGAGCACACAUUCAGAGCCGGCUCGCGGGAUUCCCAACCCCUAUGGCUUCUUCCUCAGAAAGCCACUUGGUUUUCUUAUCAGACGGGGUCCCUGGGCUAAGGCCCCAGCCCUGCUGACCUUAGGGACGACCCCAGCAUCCCAUUCGGGUUUGAGUAGGAGCUAGGGCUGCCCCAAGAGUCUUCUGCUCAGCAUGUGCCUGAUUUCAUUUAUAUAUUUAGAGCUGCCACAAAUUCAGAGUGGACCUGGACUGUGUCCAGGAGGGCACCUGGCAGCUCGGGGCUCCGGGGAAGAUGGGAGUCAGUGGAUAGGGAUCAACCAGUGUUUCCCUCAGAUUUAGGACCCAGGUCUUAAGGAAAAAUUAGAAGUAUAUCAUGAAAACGUAAAAGAUACCCAUUCUUUUUUUCUUUCUUUUUUGAGACGGAGUCUCUCUCUGUCACCCAGGCUGGAGUGCAGUGGUGCGAUCUCGGCUCACUGCAACCUCCGCCUCUCGGGUGCAAGCAGUUCUCCUGCCUCAGCCUCCCGAGUAGCUGGGAUUACAGGUCCCUGCCACCAUGCCUGGCUAAUUUUUGUAUUUUUAGUAGAGAUGGGGUUUCACCAUGUUGGCCAAGCUGGUCUCAAAUCCU
rnacentral:lncRNA from 10 species